GCUGCUUCCCGAUGCACCUUUUCUCCUGGGGAGUGCCCAGACGAGCGCCAUCUGCUCCUGGGUCAGAGGAGUCCCUGCAGAGUCAUCGACUUCCUCAUUUCCAAAAGCCCCAUAGGUUGCACUGGAGUCCCGAGGCGAAGCGCCGACACUUCAUCUGCCCGUCACCUCCCGAUUUUUGCAAUGUGUUUCUUCUGAACAAGAAUGUGUGCCCUGGAAGCCAACUCAAGUCCCAGACCUAGGUUUCUCGACAUUUCCCCAAGUCCCACCUGCGUCAGGUUGUAGGCUCCGGGGCCAGUCCCUUUCGAUCCGCAUCAAAAAACCUGGCGAUCCCCUUUGGGCACAAGAGCUCAGGGCGUUGGUCCCCGCGAUCGCGGAAGCCCACUUCCAGAAAAACUCGACCACUAACAACUGAAAUGAAGAAAACGGAAUGACCCAGCAUGAGUGAUACAAACGUUUUCCUUCACCCGGGCUGGGAGUGGCGGAGCUCCACAUUGAACACCAAAGAACCCUGCUUCUUACGGGGAAACAGUUUUUCUUAACCUGCUAAUUCUGAUCCGAGAAGAUUCAAGUCAACGUUUCCAAUCGGGGCUUCCUUCCUCCUGCCUGGGGCGAAUCCGAAGUUGCAUCCAAGCUUGAGAUCUCGGCCAGCGGAUCGGGGAACCGUUGGACCACGGAGCUGUCUCAAGGAUGAAAGGACGCGGCUCCCGAGUGAUGGUUGCAGAGUCCUCUCUGUUCUUGGAGACCCUUCCAGACAGGUCGGCUCUUCUCGAAGCCUUCGGGAUCCGGAAACUGCACCCUCUCCCCGCCUAGCCUCGGGUGGUUCCUCUGUCACUACGACCCUGAAGUCUCAGCGGCGCUUCCCAGGCCUGUGGCUCCGGGCUCAAGAAAGUCACACACUUGCCGCUGCAGUUCCCGUCCCAGGACAGCUAGUGGCGCUCGGGCGCGGACUGCGGUUCGCUGAGACAAAAGGACGGUGGGGACAGCCUCUCUUGAGCAUCUGCCCUCACCUCCUCCCUGGACAGAACCAAACCCCCAAAACAAUAAUAGGGAUUACGGAGCCAGCGUGUUUACGAAGUAAGGGCCAUUAUUUGCGGGGGAGAGAAAUCCUAUGAUCUGAAAAGGGAGGAGGAGGCGAGGCCCGGAUUCGACAACUCAGAGGAAGCAGGCGUGAAACAUUUGCCCCUGAGAGGUGCCCCGCUUCCAGACGGAGCCUGAUGCUCUUGCUGGCAGGUGACAACCCAGGAAGGGGCCACUGGAGCAGCUAAUUCAUGAUUUACUGUCUGUUUUUUGACAAGUUUCUACUUUCCCCCUCUUCCUACCACGACUGUUUCUGUUAGUUAAGGGUAGUAAUAUUUUCAAAAGUUAAUUGGCCUAUGUACAUUUUAAAUGCCCUCCUUAUGCCCUCCCCCUCUAUUUAGACGUAUAUGCAUACACUUAUUUAUAUAUAUAAAUUGUAAAGUCUUAUCUUGGAUAUGCACUAUUAGUAUAUGUGUUUAAUGCUUUAUAUUCAUGUCUUCGCCUUAGAAAUGAGAAUCAUAUCCUUUGACUAGACAAAUUUGCCAUUUAUUUUCUAACUUUACAUUUCAACUCUUUGAAUAUGAAAAAUUAAAAUUAGUUUAACAUCA
rnacentral:lncRNA from 1 species